rnacentral:rRNA from 1 species
AGAGUUUGAUCCUGGCUCAGGAUGAACGCUAGCGGCAGGCUUAACACAUGCAAGUCGAGGGGCAGCGGGGAGGAAGCUUGCUUUCUCCGCCGGCGACCGGCGCACGGGUGAGUAACACGUAUGCAACCUGCCCCUGUCAGGGGGACAACCCGCCGAAAGGCGGGCUAAACCCGCGUACAUGCCACCGGGGCAUCCCGGAGGCAGGAAAGGCUUCGGCCGGACAGGGAUGGGCAUGCGGCGCAUUAGGCAGUAGGCGGGGUAACGGCCCACCUAACCGACGAUGCGUAGGGGUUCUGAGAGGAAGGUCCCCCACACUGGUACUGAGUCACGGACCAGACUCCUACGGGAGGCAGCAGUGAGGAAUAUUGGUCAAUGGUCGGGAGACUGAACCAGCCAAGCCGCGUGAGGGAGGAAGGUACAGAGUAUCGUAAACCUCUUUUGUCAGGGAACAAAGGCGGGGACGUGUCCCCGGAUGAGUGUACCUGAAGAAAAAGCAUCGGCUAACUCCGUGCCAGCAGCCGCGGUAAUACGGAGGAUGCGAGCGUUAUCCGGAUUUAUUGGGUUUAAAGGGUGCGUAGGCGGACUGUCAAGUCAGCGGUAAAAUACGGGGGCUCAACCUCCGCCCGCCGUUGAAACUGACGGUCUUGAGUGGGCGAGAAGUAUGCGGAAUGCGUGGUGUAGCGGUGAAAUGCAUAGAUAUCACGCAGAACUCCGAUUGCGAAGGCAGCAUACCGGCGCCCAACUGACGCUGAAGCACGAAAGCGUGGGUAUCGAACAGGAUUAGAUACCCUGGUAGUCCACGCAGUAAACGAUGAAUACUAGCUGUCCGGGGCGAAUGGGCCCUGGGUGGCACAGCGAAAGCGUUAAGUAUUCCACCUGGGGAGUACGCCGGCAACGGUGAAACUCAAAGGAAUUGACGGGGGCCCGCACAAGCGGAGGAACAUGUGGUUUAAUUCGAUGAUACGCGAGGAACCUUACCCGGGCUCAAACGACACAGGAACGGUCCUGAAAGGGGUCGGCUCUACGGAGCCUGUGUCGAGGUGCUGCAUGGUUGUCGUCGGCUCGUGCCGUGAGGUGUCGGCUUAAGUGCCAUAACGAGCGCAACCCCCAUCGACAGUUGCUAACAGGUUAGGCUGAGGACUCUGUCGAGACUGCCGGCGCAAGCUGCGAGGAAGGCGGGGAUGACGUCAAAUCAGCACGGCCCUUACGUCCGGGGCGACACACGUGUUACAAUGGCAGGUACAGCGGGAAGCCACCUGGCGACAGGGAGCGGAACCCGAAAGCCUGUCUCAGUUCGGAUUGGAGUCUGCAACCCGACUCCAUGAAGCUGGAUUCGCUAGUAAUCGCGCAUCAGCCACGGCGCGGUGAAUACGUUCCCGGGCCUUGUACACACCGCCCGUCAAG